CGUGGCGACCGGCGUACGGGUGAGUAACGCGUAUGCAACCUGCCCUCUUCAGGGGGACAACCUUCCGAAAGGGAGGCUAAUCCCGCGUAUAUCGGUUUCGGGCAUCCGAGAUCGAGGAAAGAUUCAUCGGAAGAGGAUGGGCAUGCGGCGCAUUAGCUAGACGGCGGGGUAACGGCCCACCGUGGCGACGAUGCGUAGGGGUUCUGAGAGGAAGGUCCCCCACACUGGUACUGAGACACGGACCAGACUCCUACGGAAGGCAGCAG
rnacentral:rRNA from 1 species